UAUACACUGAGAUGAUGUACGCUUAAAAUGUUUAACGGUACGAUGCAAGGAAAGUUCAGCUGCACCAUUGCUAAUCCCAGGAGUUGUCACAACUGUAAGGUACUUAUGAGAACAUAGUGCACUAAAAGAAUAAUGUUCAAUAACAAAAUUUCAGUGAUGCCAAUUACUCUCUAUAACUAUCUGUGACUGACUUUUUCCAAAUUAUCUGGUGCUUAAAUACUGAUUUCUUCUUUGUGAAUUUUAUAUGGACAGUGUGCCCCGGUUAACUUAGAAAGGUUACAGAGGCUACAGAAAAUAUGAAUAUCUUCUAACCAUGAACUUCUGGACUUUUCUAUGACAUUUGUUUAUUUUAUUAUUAUUUUUCAAUUACUUCACUAAUAAUAUUUUAUGACUAAUUCCUUAAUUUUAAUGGACCGCCAAAAUACAAUUUUUUUUUUCUUGUGGAACUACGCUGAACUUCUAUGGAUCCAUCCCAGCUGUGAAAUGCUGCUUUAGAUCAUGUGUAUAUGUUAUUCAUUAAAGCAGCCAACACAAAAAAAGCAAA